AUUGAAAGGUGCUUGCAUCUUGAUUUAAUUUUGAACGAGUGGCGGACGGGUGAGUAACACGUGGGUAACCUGCCCUUAAGUGGGGGAUAACAUUUGGAAACAGAUGCUAAUACCGCAUAAAUCCAAGAACCGCAUGGUUCUUGGCUGAAAGAUGGCGUAAGCUAUCGCUUUUGGAUGGACCCGCGGCGUAUUAGCUAGUUGGUGAGGUAACGGCUCACCAAGGCAAUGAUACGUAGCCGAACUGAGAGGUUGAUCGGCCACAUUGGGACUGAGACACGGCCCAAACUCCUACGGGAGGCAGCAGUAGGGAAUCUUCCACAAUGGACGCAAGUCUGAUGGAGCAACGCCGCGUGAGUGAAGAAGGCUUUCGGGUCGUAAAACUCUGUUGUUGGAGAAGAAUGGUCGGCAGAGUAACUGUUGUCGGCGUGACGGUAUCCAACCAGAAAGCCACGGCUAACUACGUGCCAGCAGCCGCGGUAAUACGUAGGUGGCAAGCGUUAUCCGGAUUUAUUGGGCGUAAAGCGAGCGCAGGCGGUUUUUUAAGUCUGAUGUGAAAGCCCUCGGCUUAACCGAGGAAGUGCAUCGGAAACUGGGAAACUUGAGUGCAGAAGAGGACAGUGGAACUCCAUGUGUAGCGGUGAAAUGCGUAGAUAUAUGGAAGAACACCAGUGGCGAAGGCGGCUGUCUGGUCUGUAACUGACGCUGAGGCUCGAAAGCAUGGGUAGCGAACAGGAUUAGAUACCCUGGUAGUCCAUGCCGUAAACGAUGAAUGCUAGGUGUUGGAGGGUUUCCGCCCUUCAGUGCCGCAGCUAACGCAUUAAGCAUUCCGCCUGGGGAGUACGACCGCAAGGUUGAAACUCAAAGGAAUUGACGGGGGCCCGCACAAGCGGUGGAGCAUGUGGUUUAAUUCGAAGCAACGCGAAGAACCUUACCAGGUCUUGACAUCUUUUGAUCACCUGAGAGAUCAGGUUUCCCCUUCGGGGGCAAAAUGACAGGUGGUGCAUGGUUGUCGUCAGCUCGUGUCGUGAGAUGUUGGGUUAAGUCCCGCAACGAGCGCAACCCUUAUGACUAGUUGCCAGCAUUUAGUUGGGCACUCUAGUAAGACUGCCGGUGACAAACCGGAGGAAGGUGGGGAUGACGUCAAAUCAUCAUGCCCCUUAUGACCUGGGCUACACACGUGCUACAAUGGAUGGUACAACGAGUUGCGAGACCGCGAGGUCAAGCUAAUCUCUUAAAGCCAUUCUCAGUUCGGACUGUAGGCUGCAACUCGCCUACACGAAGUCGGAAUCGCUAGUAAUCGCGGAUCAGCACGCCGCGGUGAAUACGUUCCCGGGCCUUGUACACACCGCCCGUCACACCAUGAGAGUUUGUAACACCCGAAGCCGGUGGCG
rnacentral:rRNA from 1 species